UGCCAGCAGCCGCGGUAACACGGGGGGCGCAAGCGUUAUUCGGAAUUAUUGGGCGUAAAGGGCGUGUAGGCGGUUUAUCAAGCCUGAUGUGAAAGACCCUGGCUUAACCAGGAGAGCGCGUUGGGAACUGAUAGACUAGAGUAUAGGGGGGGUAGUUGGAAUUCCAGGUGUAGGGGUGAAAUCUGUAGAUAUCUGGAAGAACACCGGUGGCGAAGGCGAACUACUGGCCAUAUACUGACGCUGAGGCGCGAAAGUGUGGCGAGCGAUCAGGAUUAGAUA
rnacentral:rRNA from 1 species